CAGUGACAAUAAUUAGCAGCCAGAAUCUAGGUUGGCCAUCUUCUUGGGAAGAAAAAGACUGUUGAAAGCACAUGAAGAUGUUCCUUCAGAUGAAAUCUGCUUCCCUGGGAUUCAACCUGUAGUGCUACUUCUGUUCACUGUAAGGACCCAGAGUAAAUCCAAGUCACCUUCUACACUUCAAGAGGGAGCCAAGAACAUCAGAGUCAGAGAAGACAUGCUGACAGAAGCAGAGCCAAAGAAGUUCGUUGUGUGAAGGACUCAAGCCAAUGCGGCUGGCUUCGGAAAUGAAAGGAGGCACAAGCCAAUAAGUGUGGGCAGCCUCCAGAAUUUGGAAAGGACAAAGAAGUAAAUUCUCGCCUGAACCUCCAAAAAGAACAUAGCCCCACCAACACCUUGAUUUCAGCUCAAUGAGGCCCUGUUUGGGUUUCUGACCUCUAGAACUGUAAGACAAUAAAUUUGCUCAGUGUUAAGCCUCUAAGUUUGUGGUACUUUGUUACAGCAAUGAUAGGAAACCAAUACAGCCCUUAUCAUUCCCUGACAUAUUUAUGUUUAAUUCCCUUAUCUGCUGUCUCUGCUCACUGGAAUGCCAGCUGCAGGGAAGCUGAACAAUCAUUGAUUUUGUUUUCUGCUAUAAGCCCAGCCCUGAAAACAGCAUGUGGAGCUCAAUAGGUGCUCACUUGGUGAUGGAUGCUCCUAAGUGCUAGGUGCUUUCACAUAGGUCCUCUUAUUUCAUUCUCUCAACAGUCCUGAAAAGUGGCAAGGAG